UGUGUAGGCGGUUUUCUAAGUUCCGUGUGAAAUCUCCCGGCUUAACUGGGAGGGUGCGCGGGAAACUGGAGGGCUUGAGUAUGGGAGAGGAAAGCGGAAUUCCUGGUGUAGCGGUGAAAUGCGUAGAUAUCAGGAGGAACACCUGCGGUGUAGACGGCUUUCUGGACCAUCACUGACGCUGAGGCACGAAAGCGUGGGUAGCAAACAGGAUUAGAUACCCUGGUAGUCCACGCCCUAAACGAUGCAUACUUGGUGUGAGCCGUUCAUUCGGUUCGUGCCGGAGCUAACGCGUUAAGUAUGCCGCCUGGGGAGUACGGUCGCAAGGCUGAA
rnacentral:rRNA from 1 species